UGUAAAUAUAUACAAUUGUGAAUGUUUGCAUGUCCAAACUUUAUAAAAAAAUUUCUUAAAUCACGACCCAUAGCCUAUACUCAAUACCUACUACCUAUAUGUGCCCACGAAAUAAAAAAAAUGUUCAAGAGCCUUGAACGGCAGAAAAAUAUCGAGCAGCAUUGGGAGGUUUAAAAAGUUAUUGGGCUCAAUGAAAAUCCACCUCAUCAAAUUGUCCGCCCC